rnacentral:lncRNA from 1 species
CGUACCAUGAGCUCAUAAGGAAAAAACAUUUACUUUGUCAACAACGGAAUAAUGUUUUCUCAAGGUAAAUUCUUGGAGUGGUUACAUAAUUAUUUAUUGAAUUGCAAAUUGAGCUCCCUCUUCCUAUUGCAGACAACUUCAUGAAGAUUAGGCCACUGAAGCUGAAUUUUGAUACUAUUUAGAGGCUGAUGGCAGAAGUUAGAGCCUUAAAAACAUCGUUUGCUACUUACAAUAAGUAGACUGAUGACCUAGUGAGCGCCAGUAAAAAGCUCUCUUCUGGAGAUGAGGAGGAGAACGAACUCUCCUCAAUCAAGAAGAAAAAAUGGAUUGUUGGGCCAUCCUCAAAGGGCCUCACUGUGGUGAAGCCUCCUACCUGCCAAUCUACCAUAUUGACGGGGGUCGUGAUAAAAGACAAUAUACCCUCGAUCCUUGAGGUAUCCACAGCCUCCGUGGUUCAAAAGGUGGCUCCAACACCAUAUCUGAUGAAGAAGAAAAGGCUAGGCUCCAACAAUGAGGUUGAAUUUUUGGGGAUUAACUCAGAGGAGCUGGUGAGGGAGGUAUUUAAGGCCUUAUCCCCCUAAAACAGCCAUAUUUGCCAUGGUCCAUAGCAAGGAUUGGACCGAUGCCUGAAGGGACUACGCCUCUUCUUGCACCGCAGAGGAACUGGCAACUAAUAUGCCUACGUCGUUGGAGCCCUAAGCAUAAGUGUUCAACUUGAGGGUGUUGUGAAGGAUCUUAGGGCUAAAAAUAUGGAUCCGGCCCAACAGUUGGAGAUGGCUCUGCACUAGGGGAACGCAAUAAGUACAGAAAGGGCCAAGACUAAAGAGGUCAAAAUAAAAAAGGUCAAAGCUGAGAGUAAGGUCGACAAGGCCAAGCCAUGGUAGAGUAGUUGAAGAAGGAACUACACGAGACCAAAUGCCAAGUAACAAAACUCACAAAGCCAUUGGACUAUGCCAAUGAGCACCAUCAAUUGGCCUAUAGAGCUGAGGCAGUAGACUGAGGCCUAGGCAAAGGAAAUUGAUUCAUUUAAAGUCGAGACAAAAGUGGUUGGAGAGUCGACAAUUCAGAACUUCAUAGACCAUUUUGAGGAGAAUGAGCUCUACGACACCUUCGUCAGUUAUUGGGCUUCUUGGAACACCCAGAUAAUGCUACAACACUUAAGGGGGGGUCCACCCAACCUUGGAUAUUUCAUCAUUUGAAGAGGAUUUUGGAGGACAUAUCGGAGGUCGCCCUGAUAUCCAAGCCGACAAUGAAACUCAUGCCAGUAGAUCCUUAGGUCAAAAUUGUAAUAGUUUCGGCCCUCUUAUGUAUAUCUUGAUUAAUGAAAUUCUAAUUAUUCAUGUAAUUUCUUCUUUCAGUCAUAAUCAAAC